rnacentral:rRNA from 1 species
UACGUAGGGGGCAAGCGUUGUCCGGAUUUAUUGGGCGUAAAGAGCUCGUAGGUGGUUCGGUAAGUCGGGUGUUAAACCCCCAGGCUCAACCUGGGGACGCCACUCGAUACUGCUGUGACUAGAGUCCGGUAGGGGAGCGUGGAAUUCCGGGUGUAGCGGUGAAAUGCGCAGAUAUCAGGAGGAACACCAGCGGCGAAGGCGGCGCUCUGGGCCGGUACUGACACUGAGGAGCGAAAGCCAGGGGAGCGAACGGG